UUGCCUUCUCUACCUCUUUGCUCUCUCUAAGCGCAUACACAGACAGAAAGGAAAACUUGUUAGCCACUUUUACUCGUGAUUUUGGUCGAUUUGGAGUUGGAUUUCGAAGAUGAUGAAGUUGAAGAAAAGAUAGAUUAAGGCAUAAUUUUAGCACUUGAAGGAGUCAUUUGGAGUCAUUUAGAGCUUGAGAAGUAGGAUUUGCAUUGCGAAAGUGAACUACGAAGUUGAAGAUCAAGAUAAAAUAAUUCAUCUUAGUAGCAAACAAGGAGGAGAUGACGUGAUUGAAGAAAUUGUGUUUCUAUCUUCGCUGUCCCUUUUGAGGUUGACUCAGUUCAUAUAGUACUGGCGACGGAAAUUUAUUCGAACUAUUUGGACUCUUAAUUGCAUUCUCAAGCACAUCCAUAUUGAAGCCAAGGUAACACACCAGCCGUGUGCGUUGGUUGUUUCCAUUGCACUUUUUGCACUUGACCAGCUGGAUAGUUCACCAGAAGACCACUUAGAUUCUCAUGGCCAACAAGCAUGCGGGAGGGUUUCAGACAAUUUCAAUGAAGUAUUAACCAUUAGAUGCAAUGGUAGGUUGUCUAAUGGUAAUGGAAUUAUGUAUGCAUUGCCUAUAUGACGUGAUCCCAACAUAAGCUUUGUUCCGUCGUGACUGUUUGAUUGAUCAUUACGCACAUGUAUGCUUAUAUUUAUCUUUUGCCGCUGCUAUGAGAGAUGCCACUAGUGAACCAACUAUGCCGCGAUCCAGUUUCCUCUUCAUAGGAAAACUCUCUAGUGAAUUGUAGAAACCUCUUGAUUGGUGAGGAUGCUUAUAUUUUUUGACAAAGGAUGAGUAUAAGCAUAUGUAUGCUUAUAUUUUUUUGACAAA